rnacentral:lncRNA from 1 species
GUAUAAAUAUUCCAUAUUUGGAUAGCAUGUGCUAAGUGGAAAUGUGGUUUGUUUGUUUGUUUGUUUUCUUUUUCUAUCUAUUAUCAGCUAUUAACAACUCUAUGGAAAAAUUAAGAAAUAUCAGGUUUGUCAUACUUGCAGAAUAAAAUAGGGAGAAAGUCUUUUCUGGGCUGUUUAUAAACACACAAGAUUUAGGAGAAUGUCAUUCAAACCAAAACAACAGGAAAUCACUCUCGCUCAAAGAUCGGGCUUAGAUCACGGUGAGUUCCUCUCCAAUCCUGCUAAAGCAAGUUUCUGCAUGCCUUCCGGAGCCUCCGCCUACAGAGCUGUUAGGCCAGCGGCCAACACAUAUAUUUAAUUAUGUAAGUAUUCAGUGCUGUCAGCCAGCUGCUGCCGCUCUUAAUACACUGACCUCUUUCACUCCUCCUCUUGCAGAAACCGGCAAAAACAAAGCAACAGUUGAUGCGGCAGUAAUCAUGAAAUAUGCAAAAUACUAUUCUCCAAAAAAGGUUUCAGAUAACUACACAAUUCAGCUUUGCAUUUUUAAAGUGAUUUGCUCCCUCUCAAGUGCUUUUCUGUUCCUUCUUUGCAAAUGCAAUAACUGAUCUAACUGGAAGUUCCUUUUUGUUUCUAUACCUUAAAAAAGUCAACCAUGAAUUCAAGUAUAUUUUCUACUUUCUUGUCACCAAAUUUCUCACUGGAACACACACGAGGCAAUUGCCUUCCAUCAUUCCAUCCAUGUCUGUUCUGUGCUUACAGGACAAGCAACGGAACACAUGGCCUAUAUGCCCAUCACUCUCAGUCCUCGUUUUCAAAAGAAAAAAAAAAAAGUAAGUUUCAUUUGAUGUCCCUAGAAAGUCCAUUCUGCCAGUAGUACCCUCAAUUCCAAAGUAGCUCCAAGGGCUGGGCAGGUAGCAAAGCCCCCAGAACAGCAGAGAGCAGACUAAACAGAACUGAGACACAUAAAUAAAUGCAAACAAAACAAGUCCACACAUGGGGGAUGAUAACCAGAGCUAACCGUGAACAACUCACCAGAAAAGUGGGACUUCAUCAGCUCAGGUUAGCAGCACGUGUGCUACAGAGCUGAGGCACCUCACUGACAGUCUCUCUUUCCUCACAGAGCUGUGUCACCCCUCACUCUAGACCCUAAGGUACCAGGUUAACUUUCCCAAACAAUUCCUUCCUGUCUUCUGUUGGCAGAGAUCUGGUGGCUUUUUCUCACUCACAGAAACUAUAAACAAGUUGAUGUUCAAAUGUAAGCCAGUGCUGUGGUGUUAAUAGCAGACAACACGGGAGUGACAAUAGCUUUGACUGGGACACUGACAGUGAGCUGAGAGACAGUGUCAGCAGGAGCAUGAAAACUGAACUGAGGCAAAUUAAACAAACAUGCACACAGUGAGAAAUAAUCAUGGUGUCUCAGACUCAGGCAAAAGACCAUCGGUCCUUCCCUGUGACUCAAAAUGACCCAGAAGUACAAUCCAGAAAGUACCCUAGCUGGUUUAGUUGGGUAGAGAAAAAGGUCCUGACAUUCACAGCCCAGAGCUACCAGCAUGGCCAGGGGACUCCAAGGCACAAGGACUCAUAAUGUUGUCAUAACAUCCCUCAGGAAAGAAACUGGAGACCAACUGUGACC